CUCGUGAACCAAAUAUGGUCGGCUGGGUUGUCUUUGCGGAAACGCUUAGGUGACUUGUCUACGAAUUGUAAUCAUAAUAUGCGCGACGGUGAAUCCUUUGCAGACGACUUGAAUGGGAACGGGGUACUGUAAGUGGUAGAGUAGCCUUGUUGCUACGAUCCACUGAGGUUAAGCCCUUGUUCUAAAGAUUUGUUCAACUUUGUUGGAC
rnacentral:rRNA from 1 species